rnacentral:miRNA from 1 species
CGACGAUCCACACCGUUAAAUAU